UACGGAGGGGGGCUAGCGUUUGUUCGGAAUUACUGGGCGUAAAGCGCACGUAGGCGGCUUUGUAAGUUAGAGGUGAAAGCCCGGGGCUCAACCCCGGAAUUGCCUUUUAAGACUGCAUCGCUUGAAUCCGGGAGAGGUGAGUGGAAUUCCGAGUGUAGAGGUGAAAUUCGUAGAUAUUCGGAAGAACACCAGUGGCGAAGGCGGCUCACUGGACCGGUAUUGACGCUGAGGUGCGAAAGCGUGGGGAGCAAACAGG
rnacentral:rRNA from 1 species